rnacentral:rRNA from 1 species
UACGGAGGGGGCGAGCGUUAUUCGGAAUUAUUGGGCGUAAAGAGCUCGUAGGCGGUGUGUCACGUCGGCCGUGAAAACCUGGGGCUUAACUCUGGGCGUGCGGUCGAUACGGGCAUCACUAGAGUUCGGCAGGGGAGACUGGAAUUCCUGGUGUAGCGGUGAAAUGCGCAGAUAUCAGGAGGAACACCGGUGGCGAAGGCGGGUCUCUGGGCCGAUACUGACGCUGAGGAGCGAAAGCAUGGGUAGCGAACAGG